CAUGACAUUAAAAAAUGAUGCCAUAUUAGUUGACUAUUCAUACAGGAAAGAAUGCACCUUGAAAAAUACCCAUGUCUCACACUGAGCAUGAAAAUAAAUUCCAGAUACACUGUAGGUACAAAUAUGAAAGUAAAACAAUAAAUCAUCCAGAAGAAAACACAGGAUAAAAUUCCCCUAACCUCAGUGCUGGCAAGUCUUCUUAGGUGGCACAGAAAGCUUUCACUAUAAAGAAAAAAGACUGAUGAACUUGAUUUAGUUAAAAUUAAGAAUUUUUGUCACCGACAGUUCCCAGUAAUAGAAUGGAAAAUAAACUAAACUUGGAGCAAUUAGAGAGAGAGGCAGACAGAGCACGCCUAGGGAAGGGUGUAGAGUGGCCUCCCUCGCGUGGCUGCUCAGUAUUGUUUGCGCUCAGCCAGGGUGACCUGACGCCCGCUUUGGAAAACUGCUGAACAGCGGGCGGGCGCAGUGGUUUCUUGCAAGGUCCCAGGCAGAGCGGAAUGCAUACACCAGGAAGCCAGCAGGCCUGUCCGGAGAGGCACGGCUCACAGCCUCCGGACUGGAGAGAGCCCAGUUGCUGGGCUUCCGAGCCUUCCUCCCCUGCCCACGACUAAGGAAUGAGCCCUUCUCUGCGCCUGGCCCUGCUGCACGGAGCCGCAGAGCUGAAAGUGAAAGAUGUCGUCUCCGCCUGGCCCUGACCCCUCCAGCGAGUGAGUGACUCCUUCCUCCGGAGCCGACCCUUCACCAGAGAACAGGCUCAGGAUGCCCUGGCCCUGUCUGUGCAGCAGGGACCAUUGCCCUUGGAUACUGCUGACCCCUAGGGACUGCCCAGUGCCUCACAUACACCAUGAACCCGUGCCAGACCCACACCAGGACGGUGCAGACGAAGCACGGAAAAGAAGGCGCUCUAGACCACAGCUCGAGGCUACGUCAGGAGCCAGCAAGCUGCGCUCUGCCUCCAGCCACCCGGCCUGGGCCAGGAGGCCGACUGUUACUGAUGUGGAGACAGACAGGGAUGCUCCUGGCUGCCCAUCAGGGCCUUGGCAGACGAGGGAGCAGAGCCUGGAGAAGCCCAGAGUCCUGGCCAUGGGACACAGGACCCCGAGGGGGCCCUGGAGACCGUUGCUCUCGCUGGGCUGCAGAGAGCUGCAGGUGGGGUCCCUGCUGCAGGUGUCCUGGCAGCUGGGGCGCUUGCUGGGGCCCUGCCCGGCCUGGGGAAUGUUCUCAGAUGGUGUAGCAGUUCCAGGUUUACUCAGAGCUCUCUUCUGAGCUGUCAUGAAAAGUCCCUUUGGCCUGGGGCCCGGGCAGGCUGGGGCGGUGGGGCCUGUGAGCCUUGGGGGGGGGCGAGGGUCCUCCCAGCUCCCUCCCCAACUCAGCGGGGCCUGGAGAAGCAGGGGAGAGAGGGGCAGGGGGCAAGAAGACCCUCGUCUUGGGGCUCUCUUUUCUUCCCUUCACAAUGGCCUCCUGGGUGACCCUAGAAAAUGCCCCUCCCUCCCCAGCACUCAGUUUCCCUGUCUGUCAAAGGGGUGUAGAAUCACCCUAAAUCAGAUCCAUCAUUAGGUGAGGACUCAGUACAUGCUGGUGUUCCAGCCAGUGACAAGACUAUUAUCACCAAAAAUAAAGUAAAACCUAACAGUUACUCACUCCUUUCUGUCUCUCCCUGUCCCUCCCGUGUCUCCCUCCCACUCGCUCUCCCGCUCUCUCCCAGUUCUGGGCAUGAACCCAGGGCCUGCACACUGAUUGAAUCUCUAGCUCUUUUUUAUUUUUUUAGUUUGAGACAGAGUCUCACUAACUCCUGAGUCGCCCAGGCUGGGCUGGAAAGUGUGGUCCUCCUGCCUCAGCCUCCCAGGUGUGGGUCACCAUGCCUGGAUUGGCUGCUGCUCCCUGGGAGCCCUGGGGGGCGCUGCCGAGCACGUGUCCCUGUCACAGUGCUGGCUCAGACUCGUGCACCCCAGGCACAGGGCUGGAAACAGCUGCUCGGGGUCAGCGUGUGUGUUAAGGCCCACAGGGACGCUGCAGCCUGUCCGUCCUCCUCCCUGCAUUCUGACAGAGACCCCAUUCUGGUUCCUACGCCCAUUUCCUCUUAUCACACGUGAGGCCCCCGCUGCAGAGAGCUGUGGGGCUGGGACUUGAACCCAGGUCCGGCCCAUUCCCGAGUCCCACGUCACCACUGGCUCCCUGCCCUCCCCACCCCAGGGCCCCAGGGUGGGCUCGGAGGGGAAGGUGCUCCAUCCUGCCUGGGGCCCCUCCGCCUGCACACGCGC
rnacentral:lncRNA from 1 species